rnacentral:rRNA from 1 species
CCCUUAGAUGUUCUGGGCCGCACGCGCGCUACACUGAUGCAUUCAACGAGUCUAAAACCUGCUCUGAUAGGGGUGGGUAAUCUUUUGAAUGUGCAUCGUGAUUGGGAUAUAUGAUUGCAAUUUUUCAUCUUCAACGAGGAAUGCCUAGUAAACGCAAGUCAUCAGCUUGCAUUGAUUACGUCCCUGCCCUUUGUACACACCGCCCGUCGCUCCUACCGAUUGAAUGAUCCGAUGAAUAUCAUGGAUUGAGGAUGCAAGUAGGUUAGCCUAUCUUCAUCUUCGAGAAGUGAAGUAAAUCUUAUCAUUUAGAGGAAGGAGAAGUCGUAACA